rnacentral:rRNA from 1 species
UACGAAGGGGGCUAGCGUUGCUCGGAAUGACUGGGCGUAAAGGGCGCGUAGGCGGAUAGUACAGUCAGAUGUGAAAUUCCCGGGCUCAACCUGGGGGCUGCAUUUGAUACGUGCUGUCUAGAGUCCGGAAGAGGGUGGUGGAAUUCCCAGUGUAGAGGUGAAAUUCGUAGAUAUUGGGAAGAACACCGGUGGCGAAGGCGGCCACCUGGUCCGGCACUGACGCUG